GACGAACGCUGGCGGCGUGCCUAAUACAUGCAAGUCGAACGAGAGCGACCGGUGCUUGCACUGGUCAAUCUAGUGGCGAACGGGUGAGUAACACGUGGGUAACCUGCCCAUCAGAGGGGAUAACAUUCGGAAACGGAUGCUAAAACCGCAUAGGUCCUUUAACCGCAUGGUUGAAGGAGGAAAAGAGGCGCAAGCUUCUGCUGAUGGAUGGACCCGCGGUGCAUUAGCUAGUUGGUGAGGUAACGGCUCACCAAGGCCGUGAUGCAUAGCCGACCUGAGAGGGUGAUCGGCCACAUUGGGACUGAGACACGGCCCAAACUCCUACGGGAGGCAGCAGUAGGGAAUCUUCCGCAAUGGACGCAAGUCUGACGGAGCAACGCCGCGUGAGUGAAGAAGGUUUUCGGAUCGUAAAACUCUGUUGUUAGAGAAGAACAAGUGCUAGAGUAACUGUUAGCGCCUUGACGGUAUCUAACCAGAAAGCCACGGCUAACUACGUGCCAGCAGCCGCGGUAAUACGUAGGUGGCAAGCGUUGUCCGGAUUUAUUGGGCGUAAAGCGAGCGCAGGCGGUUCCUUAAGUCUGAUGUGAAAGCCCCCGGCUCAACCGGGGAGGGUCAUUGGAAACUGGGGAACUUGAGUGCAGAAGAGGAGAGUGGAAUUCCAUGUGUAGCGGUGAAAUGCGUAGAUAUAUGGAGGAACACCAGUGGCGAAGGCGACUCUCUGGUCUGUAACUGACGCUGAGGCUCGAAAGCGUGGGUAGCAAACAGGAUUAGAUACCCUGGUAGUCCACGCCGUA
rnacentral:rRNA from 1 species